rnacentral:rRNA from 1 species
CGGUUUGUCGCGUCUGCCGUGAAAGUCCGGGGCUCAACUCCGGAUCUGCGGUGGGUACGGGCAGACUAGAGUGAUGUAGGGGAGACUGGAAUUCCUGGUGUAGCGGUGAAAUGCGCAGAUAUCAGGAGGAACACCGAUGGCGAAGGCAGGUCUCUGGGCAUUAACUGACGCUGAGGAGCGAAAGCAUGGGGAGCGAACAGGAUUAGAUACCCUGGUAGUCCAUGCCGUAAACGUUGGGCACUAGGUGUGGGGGACAUUCCACGUUUUCCGCGCCGUAGCUAACGCAUUAAGUGCCCCGCCUGGGGAGUACGGCCGCAAGGCUAAAACUCAAAGGAAUUGACGGGGGCCCGCACAAGCGGCGGAGCAUGCGGAUUAAUUCGAUGCAACGCGAAGAACCUUACCAAGGCUUGACAUGAACCGGAAAGACCUGGAAACAGGUGCCCCGCUUGCGGUCGGUUUACAGGUGGUGCAUGGUUGUCGUCAGCUCGUGUCGUGAGAUGUUGGGUUAAGUCCCGCAACGAGCGCAACCCUCGUUCUAUGUUGCCAGCACGUGAUGGUGGGGACUCAUAGGAGACUGCCGGGGUCAACUCGGAGGAAGGUGGGGACGACGUCAAAUCAUCAUGCCCCUUAUGUCUUGGGCUUCACGCAUGCUACAAUGGCCGGUACAAAGGGUUGCGAUACUGUGAGGUGGAGCUAAUCCCAAAAAGCCGGUCUCAGUUCGGAUUGGGGUCUGCAACUCGACCCCAUGAAGUCGGAGUCGCUAGUAAUCGCAGAUCAGCAACGCUGCGGUGAAUACGUUCCCGGGCCUUGUACACACCGCCCGUCA